GACGAACCGUGCGAACGUUGUUCGGAAUCACUGGGCAUAAAGGGCGCGUAGGCGGGCUUUCAAGUCAGGGGUGAAAUCCUCCAGCUUAACUGGAGAACUGCCUUUGAUACUGGGAAUCUAGAGUAUGGUAGGGGCGUGCGGAACUGAUGGUGGAGCGGUGAAAUGUGUUGAUAUCAUCAGGAACUCCGGUGGCGAAAGCGGCACGCUGGACCAUUACUGACGCUGAGGCGCGAAAGCCAGGGGAGCAAACGGG
rnacentral:rRNA from 1 species